rnacentral:lncRNA from 10 species
AUUGACAGCUUUUAACAAGUUAUUAUACUCCUAUGAACAAAAUUUGGAGCAUAUUUGUUUCUCUCUGCCUGAUUUCUCCUGAAUUUGGAAACUAUUUUGCCAUGGUCUCCAUGAACUGAUUUUUUUGUGCAGUGGGCAGGAAGAACCCAUCGGGCAGCUACACAUCUUGAAAGAGAAGCUCUUCCUGUGAGGCAAGUAUUGUUCCUGUACAAAACAGGCUGCCGGGUGCCGUAUGGGAGCGCCGCCUCCAGGUGAGCCAUCCUGGGUUCCAGUCCAGCCUCUAUUCACUUCAGGAUCUGGAGUAUUACGGACCACGAGAGAUGCAGAAAUGGAGCACAGGCGGUGAGCCAAGGACACCCGAGGCUGAGUGCAGUUGCAUGAUCUCGGCUCACCACAACCUCUGCCUCCCGGAUUCAAGAGACUCUCCUGCCUCAGCCUCCCAAGUGGCUGGGAUUACGGUGUCUUGAUGGGAUGUCUCUCUUUGGCACCCUUUGGGAUAUGACUCUGAACUCUGCCUUCUGGCUGCAGUCCCCUCAACUCUGGAUGGAGCUCUAUUAUUUUUGUGUGGGGGUGGGGGCUUAUCUCCUGAGCCAGCCUCUGCUUGUCAGAACACACUCUUCCUGCAAGCAUGGUUUCCACGGGCCCCUGCUAUGGCAGCCACAGCCUCACAUCGUGAAGAACACACUCUUCCUGCAAGCACGGUUUCCACGCUCCCCUGCUGUGGCAGCCACAGCCUCACAUCAUGAGGAUGAUACGCAGCCAUUCAAGGGAUAACCUCUAAGGACAGCCUGGCAUGUCUGAACUCACUUCUCUUCCCACUGCCAGUUGAGCCUUGCCUUCUAGCUCAGUCAGCACUGGGAGACUAGGCUACUCAAUCUGGUGGUCUUUUGUUUCCAGCUCUCCCCAAUAUCCCUAUUGUGCAUUCCUCAUGCCCCAUACUCUCCUUGACUUCCCCU